UGGGGAAUAUUGGACAAUGGGCGAAAGCCUGAUCCAGCCAUGCCGCGUGUGUGAAGAAGGUCUUCGGAUUGUAAAGCACUUUAAGUUGGGAGGAAGGGCAUUAACCUAAUACGUUAGUGUUUUGACGUUACCGACAGAAUAAGCACCGGCUAACUCUGUGCCAGCAGCCGCGGUAAUACAGAGGGGGCAAGCGUUAAUCGGAAUUACUGGGCGUAAAGCGCGCGUACGUGGUUUGUUAAGUUGGAUGUGAAAUCCCCGGGCUCAACCUGGGAACUGCAUUCAAAACUGACUGACUAGAGUAUGGUAGAGGGUGGUGGAAUUUCCUGUGUAGCGGUGAAAUGCGUAGAUAUAGGAAGGAACACCAGUGGCGAAGGCGACCACCUGGACUAAUACUGACACUGAGGUGCGAAAGCGUGGGGAGCAAACA
rnacentral:rRNA from 1 species